UAGAUAGCAUCAUUUACACACCAGAGGGCAGAACCUGUUUGCUCGCUUAUACAGUAACUGAUAUGGUAGUUGAUGUAGUUUCCUUUCUCAGAUGAAGAAGAAAAAAGGUCGUUUUUUUUCUCUCCAAACCAGUCAUUUACCUUUAGGUGCAACAUGAUUACACAUCUAAUCAGCACUGCUAUCUUGCUGCUGUUUUUAACAGGCUGCUCAGUGAACUCUACAAUCACACAGACCCCCGCUCACCUGCUGCUCGAAAACAACGCAGAAUCAGCGAGUCUUAAUUGUUCUCACAAAGAUCCAACCUUCACCGUCAUCCUCUGGUACAAGCAGCCUAUGAAUGGGGAAAUGCAGCUCAUGGGGUAUCUAUACAGGAUGAAUAUUAACCCAGAGUCCGAUUUUAAGGAGAAGAUUGAGCUUUUGGGGAACGGAGCAAGUUACAGUGAUUUGACACUGAAAAAACUUUCCCCAGAUGACAGUGCGAUCUAUUACUGUGCAGCAAAAGAACACGGUGCUGUGGGUUUCCUGCACUUCUGCACAAAAACAUUAUCACAAACCCCUAUACAUUACAUCUCAGUGUCACUCUUUCUUUAUGUUAAGAAGGUAGAAUGUUUCUAGCAUGUCAAAUUGAAUAGCCACGGG